GACGAACGCUGGCGGCGUGCUUAACACAUGCAAGUCGAACGGAAAGGCCCUGCUUUUGUGGGGUGCUCGAGUGGCGAACGGGUGAGUAACACGUGAGUAACCUGCCCUUGACUUUGGGAUAACUUCAGGAAACUGGGGCUAAUACCGGAUAGGAGCUCCUGCUGCAUGGUGGGGGUUGGAAAGUUUCGGCGGUUGGGGAUGGACUCGCGGCUUAUCAGCUUGUUGGUGGGGUAGUGGCUUACCAAGGCUUUGACGGGUAGCCGGCCUGAGAGGGUGACCGGCCACAUUGGGACUGAGAUACGGCCCAGACUCCUACGGGAGGCAGCAGUGGGGAAUAUUGCACAAUGGGCGGAAGCCUGAUGCAGCAACGCCGCGUGCGGGAUGACGGCCUUCGGGUUGUAAACCGCUUUCGCCUGUGACGAAGCGUGAGUGACGGUAAUGGGUAAAGAAGCACCGGCUAACUACGUGCCAGCAGCCGCGGUGAUACGUAGGGUGCGAGCGUUGUCCGGAUUUAUUGGGCGUAAAGGGCUCGUAGGUGGUUGAUCGCGUCGGAAGUGUAAUCUUGGGGCUUAACCCUGAGCGUGCUUUCGAUACGGGUUGACUUGAGGAAGGUAGGGGAGAAUGGAAUUCCUGGUGGAGCGGUGGAAUGCGCAGAUAUCAGGAGGAACACCAGUGGCGAAGGCGGUUCUCUGGGCCUUUCCUGACGCUGAGGAGCGAAAGCGUGGGGAGCGAACAGGCUUAGAUACCCUGGUAGUCCACGCUGUAAACGGUGGGUACUAGGUGUGGGGUCCAUUCCACGGGUUCCGUGCCGUAGCUAACGCUUUAAGUACCCCGCCUGGGGAGUACGGCCGCAAGGCUAAAACUCAAAGGAAUUGACGGGGCCCCGCACAAGCGGCGGAGCAUGCGGAUUAAUUCGAUGCAACGCGUAGAACCUUACCUGGGUUUGACAUGGAUCGGGAGUGCUCAGAGAUGGGUGUGCCUCUUUUGGGGUCGGUUCACAGGUGGUGCAUGGCUGUCGUCAGCUCGUGUCGUGAGAUGUUGGGUUAAGUCCCGCAACGAGCGCAACCCUUGUUCACUGUUGCCAGCACGUUAUGGUGGGGACUCAGUGGAGACCGCCGGGGUCAACUCGGAGGAAGGUGGGGAUGACGUCAAGUCAUCAUGCCCCUUAUGUCCAGGGCUUCACGCAUGCUACAAUGGCUGGUACAGAGAGUGGCGAGCCUGUGAGGGUGAGCGAAUCUCGGAAAGUCGGUCUCAGUUCGGAUUGGGGUCUGCAACUCGACCUCAUGAGGUCGGAGUCGCUAGUAAUCGCAGAUCAGCAACGCUGCGGUGAAUACGUUCCCGGGGCU
rnacentral:rRNA from 1 species